rnacentral:lncRNA from 1 species
UGAUGUGUCUUUCGUUUGUGUCUUGAACUUGGUUUGCAUUUUGAACUUGGUUGUAUGAACUUGUGGGCAUGAUUUUGAACUUGUGGGCAUGAACUUUUAUUUAUCAACUUUUUGUGUGAAAAUUUAUAUGUCAUGUUCAUUGCAUUUUGAAUGUUUUCAAAUUUAUUUUGUGUCCAAAAUGCCAUAUAUGCAAUGCCCCGGCGAGUCGCGCGCGCUGCAUUUUUUGCGCGCUGCAUUUUAGCGCGGCUGUUGGAACCAGCGCUGGCGGCCACGCAAAACUAGGCGAACGGCGCGCGACAAACUAGUUUUUAGCGCGCGGCGCGUAGCGCGGCUGUUGGAGAUGCUCUCACGACCAUAUGCAUGCGAGUUCGAUGCGUCCGAGCGUAGGGGCCAUGGCACCAUGAGAGCAACACACGCACCACACAAGACGCAGCCGUUGAACGCAAGCCGCACGCGAGGCAGCAGAAAGGGCGUCACCGCGGCAGGGUGCAUGGCCAAGAGCGAACUGGAGGCAGUCGUCGCGUGCUCACCUUCCUGCAGCUAACGCGGAGGCGGACAGACAGGGAGCUGGGGGCACCUUCGCGCAUCUGCUUCGGCGGUAGCCUAGCUUAGGCCGCAACCGCAUCUCUUGACGACGACGACGACACGGGGCGGCGGACGGCUCUGGCCGGUAGUGGGGGGCGGCGGGGCGCCCACGGUUUGUGCGGACGCGGGGUCGAUCGAUCGAGGUGUCGAUGACGUGGAAAACUCACAUGCCAAGCAUGAGGUACACCUAGGCGACAUAGGACGGUGGGGUGCUGGUGGGCUGGGCAGGCGUAACCUCCAGCCGUCGGGAAGCUGGGCGAGCUCGAGGUCAAAAACAUCAGCACCGCAUGCACCAACGACGCCGUCAAUGACAUUGACGAAGACGACGACGCAUCACCGCGGCCUGCGUUCCACCAUCGCCUCCUCUUCUGGGUCGAAGCCUCUGCACACUCCUCGCCAUCGGAGUGAUUCCGAAAGUUGGGUUGUGGUAAAACUGAGGCAAGGAAAGAAAGCGCCGUCGUCGGAGUAGUCCGCUCCGCCGCGGUCGUCAAUCCCUCGCUGCCAAAAAGAAGAGUAAAAAUGCAGUAAGAAAUUAAACAAGGGGAAGAGGGACACCGGACAUACCGGAGAACGACCUCGCCUAGACCACGGAUGGGAUCCAGCGGAUGGCGGCGCGUGCAUGUGUCGUAUUCCAUGGCCGCCGGCGUAGAGCCCGAACGCGGGACGCCGGACGUCUACUCCAUGAAGUUGAGCGUUGUCGCGGCCGACCGCCCCGCAAACAGCAAAAAAUCGCCGCGACGACGGUUCCGUCCGGUCGUCGCCUCGCCAGACCAUGACGUGCGCUGCUCAAAGAUUCCUGAACAAUACAAGAGAAAAGAGGAUUCAGGUAUCCGGCUGAAGCAACGCGACGGCGAGGGACUGAUAUUCCGCGUUGGACGCCGCAUGAGCUCCAGGUCGAGCAAGACGGGCCGCUCCUCUUCCGCGACGGCUACCACUAAAUGCAAUGACGAACGCGUGUAUGAUUGAAACCAGAAUGGGAGGAAGACCGAUGGAUGGGCCCCGUAUUUAUAGCAAGCAACGACGUACCAAAAACAAAUUGAAGACAGCCACU